GGCUAAAACUCAAAGGAAUUGACGGGGGCCCGCACAAGCGGCGGAGCAUGCGGAUUAAUUCGAUGCAACGCGAAGAACCUUACCAAGGCUUGACAUACACCGGAAACGGCCAGAGAUGGUCGCCCCCUUGUGGUCGGUGUACAGGUGGUGCAUGGUUGUCGUCAGCUCGUGUCGUGAGAUGUUGGGUUAAGUCCCGCAACGAGCGCAACCCUCGUUCUAUGUUGCCAGCGCGUUAUGGCGGGGACUCAUAGGAGACUGCCGGGGUCAACUCGGAGGAAGGUGGGGAUGACGUCAAAUCAUCAUGCCCCUUAUGUCUUGGGCUUCACGCAUGCUACAAUGGCCGGUACAAAGGGCUGCGAUACCGUAAGGUGGAGCGAAUCCCAAAAAGCCGGUCUCAGUUCGGAUUGAGGUCUGCAACUCGACCUCAUGAAGUCGGAGUCGCUAGUAAUCGCAGAUCAGCAACGCUGCGGUGAAUACGUUCCCGGGCCUUGUACACACCGCCCGUCAAGUCAUG
rnacentral:rRNA from 1 species